rnacentral:rRNA from 1 species
UACGUAGGGCGCAAGCGUUAUCCGGAAUUAUUGGGCGUAAAGAGCUCGUAGGCGGUUUGUCGCGUCGAAUGUGAAAACCCGGGGCUCAACCCCGGGCCUGCAUUCGAUACGGGCAGACUAGAGUGCGGUAGGGGAGACUGGAAUUCCUGGUGUAGCGGUGAAAUGCGCAGAUAUCAGGAGGAACACCGGUGGCGAAGGCGGGUCUCUGGGCCGUAACUGACGCUGAGGCGCGAAAGCGUGGGGAGCGAACGGG